ensembl:lncRNA
GGAAAAUCUCAACCCAAGCGAGGUUUGUGGCAAUCAGAGUUUUUCACAGAGCUCUGAUCGUGAGUGAUUACUUUGGUCCCGGGCACCUGAACACACGGCUGUUCUGCAUUGGAUGUGUGUGCUGGCUGCGUGGGAUAGGAAGGAUGACUUUGAUUUUCUACAAAGAAACUUAUAUUUCCCAGGUAGAGAGAAUGAAAUACUCUCAAACCAUUUUUUUCAGUUCUGGUUAUGGAGCUCCUCCCUGAAGACAGAAGGAAGAUUUUCAAAAGGUUUCAUGGAGUUUUAACUUCUGUAAUAAUUCCUUUCUACAGUCAGUUUGUUAAAUGAAAGCUGUAAAAAAUGUCUUAAGAGUUGAAUGAUCGACCUACUAUACCAAGUGCCAUUCAAUCCCACUAAACUUCCUAGUAUUAGGACAAAAGGAAGCCAGACUUUGUGAGCAAAAUUUAAAAAUUUGGUCUGGAUAUAGUCUAGGAGACAG